rfam:Bacillus gaemokensis strain JCM 15801 contig17, whole genome shotgun sequence.
GCGGAAGUAGUUCAGUGGUAGAAUACAACCUUGCCAAGGUUGGGGUCGCGGGUUCGAAUCCCGUCUUCCGCU